UACAGAGGGUGCAAGCGUUGUUCGGAAUCAUUGGGCGUAAAGCGCAUGUAGGCGGCUUCUUAAGUCUGGUGUGAAAUCCCGGGGCUCAACCCCGGAAGUGCACUGGAUACUGGGAGGCUAGAGGGUGAGAGAGGAUAGCGGAAUUCCUGGUGUACCGGUGAAAUGGGUAGAUAUCAGGAGGAACGUCGGUGGCGAAGGCGGCUAUCUGGUUCAUUUCUGACGCUGAGAUGCGAAAGCGUGGGUAGCAAACAGG
rnacentral:rRNA from 1 species